rnacentral:rRNA from 1 species
GUAGGGAAUCUUCGGCAAUGGACGAAAGUCUGACCGAGCAACGCCGCGUGAGUGAAGAAGGUUUUCGGAUCGUAAAACUCUGUUGUUAGAGAAGAAUGUUGAUUAGAGUGGAAAAUUAAUCAAGUGACGGUAUCUAACCAGAAAGGGACGGCUAACUACGUGCCAGCAGCCGCGGUAAUACGUAGGUCCCGAGCGUUGUCCGGAUUUAUUGGGCGUAAAGCGAGCGCAGGUGGUUUAAUAAGUCUGAUGUAAAAGGCAGUGGCUCAACCAUUGUGUGCAUUGGAAACUGUUAGACUUGAGUGCAGUAGAGGAGAGUGGAAUUCCAUGUGUAGCGGUGAAAUGCGUAGAUAUAUGGAGGAACACCGGUGGCGAAAGCGGCUCUCUGGACUGUCACUGACACUGAGGCUCGAAAGCGUGGGUAGCAAACAGGAUUAGAAACCCGGGUAGUCC